GUGAGUAUAGUUUAACAGGCAAAACGCUUCAGUGUCAUUGAAGUAGAUGCGGGUUCGAGUCCCGUUGCUCUCG
rnacentral:tRNA from 2 species